rnacentral:tRNA from 1 species
GCGGAUGUAGCCCAAGAUCUGACC